rnacentral:rRNA from 1 species
UACAGAGGUCUCAAGCGUUGUUCGGAUUCAUUGGGCGUAAAGGGCGCGUAGGCGGUCAGCACAAGUCAGUUGUGAAAUCUCCGGGCUUAACUCGGAAAGGUCAACUGAUACUGUGCGACUAGAGUGCAGAAGGGGCAACUGGAAUUCUCGGUGUAGCGGUGAAAUGCGUAGAUAUCGGGAGGAACACCAGUGGCGAAGGCGACUACCUGGCCUGUUCUUGACGCUGAGGCGCGAAAGCUAGGGUAGCAAACGGG